rnacentral:misc_RNA from 1 species
AAAUCAUUAACUAACUAACUUGAAUGUUUGCAUUGCAAUGUACUAUUUCUAUUACAGGGAAAUCAUUCAACUGUAGUUCUGUUGCACAUCAAAGAUAAUUUACCAAAAGACGAGGACGAGGGGAGGGGGAACUCAGUCACAAUUCAAUAGGGGCAUAUUGCCCAUAAAUAGCACAAGCUCUGAACCAGAAAGGGCUCAGAACCUCAAAGAUGUUGUAAAGGCGUGACAAAGACGACUCAAUCAAACAGCUCAGGCCGUCUGUUUCUUUGUUUGAGUGAUGACCUUGGUCAGGACAAAACAGUCUGGUGGGGUAAUGUUUGUGUAAUAGUUUGAGAUUUUAUCAGUAACCUCAAAUCCAAAUUUCUUAUAGAAAUUGAUGGCUUCUUCAUUAAUUGUGUGCACAUGCAAAUAAAUAUCGGUAACAUUCUGCUUGGCACAAAGAUCAAGGACAUGAUUCAACAGCUUUGUACCAGUCCCUAACCCACGAUAUGGAGCCAAAACACCCAGAGUCAUUAUGUAAACACGAACAGCCCCACUUUCUUUCUUCUCAAUGCGACAUGCAAUCGAACCUACACAGAUAUCACUGUAAUAUGCUAGCCUGGUGAAAUCACCAGAGGCAAUGGCAUCAGUGUAAUACUUAUCGUUGUAGCGUACUGGGAAAAUAGCGGUGUUGAUUUUUUUGAGUUGCAUCAUGUUCUUGUCCCUAACUCCAUCCAAUGAAAUUGCUACUUCACGUCCAACACCCA